GGGGGCGAAUUUGGUUUCGACGGGGAUGUGGAAUCAAGAGUAGCGAGUCGUUGUCGCCAAACAACGCUAAAAGUGGCAAAAGAUAUAAACGCAAACGAUAAUUACGCUUUUGCAGCUUAGUUAAAGCUGCUCGUCUUACUUGAGAAUCCCACGACUUGAGUUAAGACGUCAACUUAGUGGGGAACCGCACUAGGCAAAGCUUUGAGCUUAGGACGGAAAUUAUGAAGCUACUAAAGCCUAUAUCCUGUCAGUGGGAGAUAGGCAGAGGGAAUGUCAAAAUACUGACUGCACUCGGAGAAACUCUUGUGGAAGUGUUUUCGGACGUGGGUUCGACACCCACCGCCUCCACCA
rnacentral:tmRNA from 1 species